AGCAGCCGCGGUAAUUCCAGCUCCAAUAGCGUAUAUUAAAGUUGUUGCAGUUAAAAAGCUCGUAGUUGAACUUCAGGCCUGGUCGGGCGGUCUGCCUCACGGUAUGUACUGUCUGACCGGGUCUUACCUCUUGGUGAGCCGGCAUGCUCUUUACUGGGUGUGUCGGGGAACCAGGACUUUUACUUUGAGAAAAUUAGAGUGUUCAAAGCAGGCCUAUGCCCGAAUACAUUAGCAUGGAAUAAUAAAAUAGGACGUGCGGUUCUAUUUUGUUGGUUUUUAGGGUCGCCGUAAUGAUUAAUAGGGAUAGUUGGGGGCAUUAGUAUUCAGUUGCUAGAGGUGAAAUUCUUGGAUUUACUGAAGACUAACUUCUGCGAAAGCAUUUGCCAGGGAUGUUUUCAUUAAUCAAGAACGAAGGUUAGGGGAUCGAAAACGAUCAGAUACCGUUGUAGUCUUAACAGUAAACUAUGCCGA
rnacentral:rRNA from 1 species